UACAGAGGUCCCAAGCGUUGUUCGGAUUCACUGGGCGUAAAGGGUGCGUAGGCGGUCGGGUAAGUCUGAUGUGAAAUCUCACAGCUUAACUGUGAAACUGCAUUGGAUACUAUCCGGCUAGAGGAAUGGAGGGGAGACUGGAAUACUUGGUGUAGCGGUGGAAUGCGCAGAUAUCAGGAGGAACACCGGUGGCGAAGGCGGGUCUCUGGGCCGUUACUGACGCUGAGGAGCGAAAGCGUGGGGAGCGAACAGG
rnacentral:rRNA from 1 species